rnacentral:rRNA from 1 species
GACGAACGCUGGCGGCGCGCUUAACACAUGCAAGUCGAGCGAAGCGGCGGACGGGUGAGUAACACGUGAGUAACCUGCCUUAGACAUUGGGAUAGCCGCGGGAACCCGGGAUUAAUACCAAAUGGUCUAAGAUGGACUCGUGUCCCAUUAGCUAGUUGGUGAGGUAACGGCCCACCCAGGCGACGAUGGGUAGCCGGCCUGAGAGGGUGAACGGCCACAUUGGAACUGAGAAGCGGUCCGAACUCUACGGGAGGCAGCAGUGGCGAAUAUUGCACAAUGGAGGGAACUAUGAUGCAGCGACGCCGCUUGAACGAAGAAGGCUUUCGAGUCGUAAAGUUCGUUUAUAUGGGAAGCGGUACCAUAAGAAAAAGCCCCGGCUAACUACGUGCCAGCAGCCGCGGUAAUUC